rnacentral:rRNA from 1 species
CCAGACUCCUACGGGAGGCAGCAGUGGGGGAUAUUGGACAAUGGGGGAAACCCUGAUCCAGCGACGCCGCGUGAGUGAAGAAGUAUCUCGGUAUGUAAAGCUCUAUCAGCAGGGAAGAAAGAAAUGGCGGUACCUGAGUAAGAAGCCCCGGCUAACUACGUGCCAGCAGCCGCGGUAAUACGUAGGGGGCAAGCGUUAUCCGGAAUUACUGGGUGUAAAGGGAGCGUAGACGGUGAAGUAAGUCUGGAGUGAAAGGCGGGGGCCCAACCCCCGGACUGCUCUGGAAACUAUUUAACUUGAGUGCAGGAGAGGUAAGCGGAAUUCCUGGUGUAGCGGUGAAAUGCGUAGAUAUCAGGAGGAACACCGGUGGCGAAGGCGGCCUGCUGGACGACAACUGACGCUGAGGCUCGAAAGCGUGGGGAGCAAACAGGAUUAGAUACCCCCGUAGAC